rnacentral:snRNA from 1 species
GGGCCCACCCGGGGGAUGCCGUGGUCACGAAGGCGGUUUUCCGCGGCGAGCCUUGUCCACUGCGGUUUUCCCGAAGGUGGGAAACUCGACCGCAUAAUCUGCGGUCGUGGGGACCGGUUCGCGCCCUCCCUG